rnacentral:rRNA from 1 species
UACGUAGGGUGCAAGCGUUAAUCGGAAUUACUGGGCGUAAAGCGUGCGCAGGCGGUUAUGUAAGACAGAUGUGAAAUCCCCGGGCUCAACCUGGGGAACUGCAUUUGUGACUGCAUAGCUAGAGUACGGUAGAGGGGGAUGGAAUUCCGCGUGUAGCAGUGAAAUGCGUAGAUAUGCGGAGGAACACCGAUGGCGAAGGCAAUCCCCUGGACCUGUACUGACGCUCAUGCACGAAAGCGUGGGGAGCAAACAGG